UACAAAAAAUAGUACAGCUGUCGCCAUGGCCAACUUCUGAGCAUUAAAUGAUCAGCAGUUGUUUUCCUUGCAUAUAGGUUAUUUUUAAUUGCUGGUUGGAACCUUUUCCUUUCCCCAGUCCAGAAUGGUGUAUUAAACAAGACUGUACAUUUAAAACACAGCUUGACUUGACCUAAAAUUGAAACAAUCUCCCCAAAGCUAAUUCUGUCCCCUAGCAAUCUAUGGGAAGUAGAAAUGCUCCGAUUUAACAGAUAUGAACAAGUAUUUUGAUAUUAAGUUACCUAUUUCAGCAGCACUCAGCACUGAAGCAAUUGGUAAAUUGAGGACUGACCUGCACUAAUUUUGCACCAGCCUUUUAAACGAAUGUGUUUCUAUUGGGAUAGUAUAAGCUCACCUUGCAAUGUCUGUAAACACUGUCCUGUUUUGAUAUCCCAGAUUUUGACUGUUGAGUCUGCAUUCCCAGACACAAGAAUAUUGUCUUUCAGUUCCAUUCCACUUGUUAAUGACUGGUGGCCCGUUAAUGUGUGAAUGCAGUUUCCCGUCUCCACAUCCCAAACUCGGAUUGAAGUGUCAAGAGAUCCACUCACUACAUGGAUGCCAUCAAACUAAAAAAAGGUUAUCCUCAGCCAGAAUUCUCCAAUAACGGCAUGUCUGUGCUGCCUGUAGAAGGUCCUUGGGUUCCAGGAAUGAAAGCACAUAUAGUGCCAACUGUAAAGAGGAGAACCCAUCCUCAACACACAGGAUUCUGAAGACUAUCCACCUUCAAGAUCACUAUCAUUUUCUAUAGUUUCAGAGUUAUCUGACAAUGAUAGUGUUUCAAUCACAUCAUGUAUGUCAUAUAGCCAC